GACAGAGGGUGCAAACGUUGUUCGGAAUCACUGGGCGUAAAGCGCGUGUAGGCGGCUUGGCAAGUCGGAUGUGAAAUCCCACGGCUCAACCAUGGAAGUGCAUUCGAAACUGCCAGACUAGAGUCCUGGAGAGGAAGGCGGAAUACUCGGUGUAGAGGUGAAAUUCGUAGAUAUCGAGUGGAACACCGGUGGCGAAGGCGGCCUUCUGGACAGUGACUGACGCUGAAACGCGAAAGCGUGGGGAGCAAACAGG
rnacentral:rRNA from 1 species